GCGGAGGCGGGGGCCUUACGGCCUCGGCUGGGACACCGGCCCCCGGCUCCCGGCCGGCGGGUCGCGGGACGGCGGGAGGGGGCGCUGCGAUCUUGGCCGCGGCCUCCACCCGAGCCGCGUGUGGGAGUUGCGAUGUCUUCCCGGCCGGGGCGCGACGACGCGGGGGCGCGGGGCGUGCGGCGGCAGCGGGAGCCGGCGGAGCAGGAGCUGCAGCGGCGCCGGGAGCAGAAGCGGCGGCGACACGACGCGCAGCAGCUGCAGCAGCUCAAACACCUGGAGUCCUUCUAUGAAAAACCUCCUCCUGGGCUUAUUAAGGAAGAUGAGACUAAGCCAGAAGACUGUAUUCCUGAUGUACCAGGCAAUGAACAUGCCAGAGAAUUUCUGGCUCAUGCGCCAACUAAAGGACUUUGGAUGCCACUGGGGAAAGAAGUCAAAGUUAUGCAAUGUUGGCGAUGCAAACGGUAUGGUCACCGAACGGGUGACAAAGAAUGCCCUUUUUUUAUCAAAGGCAACCAGAAGUUAGAACAGUUCAGAGUAGCACAUGAAGAUCCCAUGUAUGACAUCAUUCGAGAGAAUAAAAGACAUGAAAAGGAUGUGAGGAUUCAGCAACUAAAACAGUUACUGGAGGAUUCCACCUCAGAUGAGGAUGGGAGCAGUUCCAGUUCUUCAGAAUGUAAAGAAAAGCAUAAGAAAAAGAAGAAGAAAGAAAAGCAUAAGAAAAGGAAGAAGGAAAAGAAAAAGAAGAAAAAACGGAAGCAUAAGUCUUCUAAGUCAAGUGAGAGUUCAGACUCGGACUGACAAGAAUUAGGUUCUCUACAAAAAUCAAACACUGUGGCCAAAGAACAGAGGGAGAUGUGACCCAGGAGUAACAAGUCACAGAGGACAUCUGGCUUCACAGCUGUGGAUUCUUACCACCUUGCCAUGGAUCGAACCCAGGGCCUCGCAUGUGCUAGGUGAGCGCUCUACCACUGAGCCACAACCCCCUCCCUGAAAGUGACUAUCUUAAUACCGAGCAAAUAUGGCCUCACUGCUAUAUAAAAUGUAAUGCUUAUAGUCACCUGACAUGAUCUGUUGAUUUGAGCUGGUAACCAAGAGAAGAGAUUCCAAGCCUAUGAAAGAUGUCAUGUGCCAUCACUGGCUUUUAAAGAUAAAGACAAAGGGCCACAAGAUGAGACUGUUGCAGACCCUAAUAGCAGGUCCUGAGCAAGGAAAUGCCUUCAGCUGAAAGCAACAAGAACUGAAUUCUGCUUCCUCAGUGACAUGGAUGCAUAUUGUUCCCCAGAGCCUCAGUUGCAGAAGUAGUUCUCACUGCAGGAGUUAUCUGAAGACAGUCAGCUUUCUAUUGGUGGCCUACAAUCAGGCUCUAACUUUCUCCAGGAACACUACAGUUGUAAACGGACAGAAUACCUUA